ACAAAAUUUUUGUGUGAAUACAGUAAACACAAUUAUCUUGAUUUAACAAAAAUUGCUUUGAAACUUUGUAAGAUUUUGUUUUUCUCUCUUUUAAUUUUACUAAAAUAAAUAACAAAAAAAGAUUUUACAAUAAAAAUAUACGUUAUUUUUGUUUAGUGUAUUAAUAAAUUAGAAACAUGCGCAAAUAUUGUAAUUGCUUUAAUCUUCGACCUUGUUGCUGCUAAGUGCUUAUUUCCUAUUUCAUUUAAGAUGCAAAGUAUCUUGCACUUAUGACAAUGCACUUUACUCCAGAAGCAUGACACGCAUUAGUCAAAAGACGUCGCACUUGUGACUGAAUUCAUCGCCGAUACGUUCGACUAUGAGUUACGAAAUCAACUAAGUAGAAUGGAUUUUAUGCGAUAUCCAUAGUGCACUGAUAAGAGAGAUAACGAAACGUACAUCGCAUGUUCACUCACAAAAAAUUAUCAGUUAUAUACCGAUUCUGAAGGAAUACUCAUCAUGAUUCGUGAUCGUAUGCCUGAUUUGCGUGCAAGCCGAAGUAACAGCAGUACUUUUGGCAGAGGAUUCUUGCAGGAAGUACACCUUCAAAUAGCUCAAAAUAAAAAACUCAAGGAAUUGCUCGAUCAAGCCGAAGAAAUACGCGCCCUAAUCCAUCUUAUAGACAAAAAUAUUUCCAUUGUGAAGGACUUGCACAACAAUAUUCUAUCACACACGAACAAUGAUAUAAAAAAAGAAUUGGAGACGCGUACAUGUACGAUCUCACAAACAGCUGUUCGCGUGCAGCGAAUGUUACGAGAUUUGGGAAAAGAUGUUACAGCUGUCGAUGACUUGACUGUAAUCAUGGGACAAAAUGGAUCUAUAUAUACAAGAAUCAAAAUAUUGCAAUAUACAACUAUGAUGCAGUUGUUUACUGAGAUUAUGGAAGAUUAUAAUGUAUCACUGUUACGAUAUCAUGAUAAGUGUCUCUUGCUUUUGCAACAGCAGCGUUCAUUAAUAAGACGGCAAGUUACAAGUGAGGAAUUGGACCAUAUGCUGGACACCCAAGAAACUAGCUUAUUUGUUGACAAUAUUUUAGAAGACAGCAAAAUUGCAAGACAACAAUUAUCAGAUAUAAAGAGUAGACAUAAUGAUGUUUUAAAAUUGGAAAAAUCUGUCACAGAAAUUCGAGAUAUAUUUGUAGAAAUUGCAUUUUUAGUAGAGAAACAAAAUUUUUUUAUAGGGAGAGCAAAUCACUAAUAUAGAAUAUUUUGCCAAUAAAACGACGGAUAAUAUCGAUGGCGGGCGCAUUCAUUUGAAAAAAACGGAAGAGAGAAGCCAUAGAUAUAGAAAGCGGAAGAUCAAGUUUGCCAUUAUUGUGAGUCUAAUAAUAUUAAUUCUUUUUUUAUUCAUUAUUAUAUCAUUGUAAAAUAUGUAAAAUAUGUCACAAACGU